AUUGAACGCUGGCGGAAUGCUUUACACAUGCAAGUCGAGCGGCAGCGCGGGGGCAACCCUGGCGGCGAGCGGCGAACGGGUGAGUAACAUAUCGGAACGUACCCCGUCGUGGGGGAUAACACAGCGAAAGCUGUGCUAAUACCGCAUACGACCUGAGGGUGAAAGCGGGGGAUCGCAAGACCUCGCGCGAUGGGAGCGGCCGAUAUCGGAUUAGCUUGUUGGUGAGGUAAAGGCUCACCAAGGCGACGAUCCGUAGCUGGUCUGAGAGGACGGCCAGCCACACUGGAACUGAGACACGGUCCAGACUCCUACGGGAGGCAGCAGUGGGGAAUUUUGGACAAUGGGGGGCAACCCUGAUCCAGCCAUUCCGCGUGAGUGAAGAAGGCC
rnacentral:rRNA from 1 species